rnacentral:rRNA from 1 species
GUGAGGAAUUUUCCGCAAUGGGCGAAAGCCUGACGGAGCAAUGCCGCGUGAAGGAUGAAGGCCUAUGGGUUGUAAACUUCUUUUCUCAGAAAAGAAUUAUGACGGUAUCUGAGGAAUAAGCAUCGGCUAACUCUGUGCCAGCAGCCGCGGUAAGACAGAGGAUGCAAGCGUUAUCCGGAAUGAUUGGGCGUAAAGCGUCUGUAGGUUGUUUAAAAAGUAUUCUGUCAAAGAUUAGGGCUUAACCCUAGAUAGGCAGAAUAAACUUUUAAGCUAGAGUUUGGUAGAGGCAGAGGGAAUUCCCGGUGGAGCGGUGAAAUGCGUAGAUAUCGGGAGGAACACCAAAGGCGAAGGCACUCUGCUGGGCCAAUACUAACACUGAGAGACGAAAGCGAGGGGAGCAAAUGGGAUUAGAAACCCCAGUUAGUCC